AACGAACGCUGGCGGCAUGCCUAACACAUGCAAGUCGAACGAGACCUUCGGGUCUAGUGGCGCACGGGUGCGUAACGCGUGGGAACCUGCCCUUAGGUUCGGAAUAACUCCCCGAAAGGGGUGCGAAUACCGGAUAAUGUCUUCGGACCAAAGAUUUAUCGCCUUUGGAUGGGCCCGCGUUGGAUUAGUUAGUUGGUAGGGUAAAAGCCUACCAAGGCGACGAUCCAUAGCUGGUCUGAGAGGAUGAUCAGCCACACUGGGACUGAGACACGGCCCAGACUCCUACGGGAGGCAGCAGUGGGGAAUAUUGGACAAUGGGCGAAAGCCUGAUCCAGCAAUGCCGCGUGAGUGAUGAAGGCCUUAGGGUUGUAAAGCUCUUUUACCCGGGAUGAUAAUGACAGUACCGGGAGAAUAAGCUCCGGCUAACUCCGUG
rnacentral:rRNA from 1 species